rnacentral:rRNA from 1 species
AUUGAACGCUGGCGGCAGGCCUAACACAUGCAAGUCGAACGAGGGGCGGACGGGUAAGUAAUGUCUGGGAAACUGCCCGAUGGAGGGGGAUAAAUACUGGAAACGGUAGCUAAUACCGCCUACUAUCGGAUGAACCCUUAUGGGAUUAGCGAGUAGGUGGGGUAAAGGCUCACCUAGGCGACAAUCCCUAGCUGGUCUGAGAGGAUGACCAUCCACAGUGGAACUGAGACACGGUCCGGACUCCUACGUGAGGCAGCAGUGGGGAAUAUUGCACAAUGGGCGCAAGCCUGAUGCAGCCAUGCCGCGUGUAUGACGAAGGCCUUCGGGUUGUAAAGUACUUUCAGCGGGGAGGCGUGACCCGCAGAAGAAGCACCGGCUAACUCCGUGCCAGCAGCCGCGGUAAUAC